rnacentral:lncRNA from 1 species
UAUUAUCCGUGGCACGCCAAUUCUUUCGUGGUCUGUCGGUUUCUUAUACUGUUGUUUAGGUGACGAGCUGAUGAAUAAAAUGUAGAGAACCUGAAACACCUCCUUUUCCUGGCACAAGAUGGACCUCUUUUCUUUCUUUCCCUUCCAGUAUUGUAAACUCUUCUUUCGGUACAGUAUCGGGCAGCACGUGUGGAUACUAGUUCUAUUCUUGUACCCUUUUGAGC